GAGGGGGAGUAUGGUGCGGUGCUGGUGGGGAAUGUUUCGGGUUGACGUUUUCUUUCUCUAUCGUAUGUCUGUUUUGUCGAUAGAGUUUUGAUAUGAAGUUAUGUUAUAUUAAAUCAAGCAGUUUACUCACGAUUAUGUGUCUUCAUACAUAUAGUCGGUUCACCUUUUGUUAUCACACUCUGAAUAUUAUGACUCUACAUAAAAAUUGAGCUAUACUUGUUUUGCUUUUCAUGUUGAGAUUCCUGAUAUUUAUCGAGUUAUGACGAU
rnacentral:lncRNA from 1 species